UACGUAGGGGGCGAGCGUUGUCCGGAAUCAUUGGGCGUAAAGAGCUCGUAGGCGGUUCAGUAAGUCAGGUGUGAAAGCUCCGAGCUCAACUCGGAGAGGCCACCUGAUACUGCUGUGACUAGAAUCCAGUAGGGGAGUGUGGAACUCCUGGUGUAGCGGUGAAAUGCGCAGAUAUCAGGAGGAACACCGGUGGCGAAGGCGGGUCUCUGGGCCGAUACUGACGCUGAGGAGCGAAAGCGUGGGGAGCGAACAGG
rnacentral:rRNA from 1 species